CGAUCCCAUAACGCCGGGAUGACGCCCUGAGCCGAAGGCAGACGCUUAACCGCUGUGCCACCCAGGCGCCCCUCCGAGUCAAUUUCUGCAUGUCCUCCAGGGUGACCCCAGCCCCAGAGGGCCGCAGCACAGCGUGAGGCGUCCCGCCUCUCAGUCUGUCGCGAGUCACAGCACACACGCCGGGCUCCCUGCACGUGAUGAGCCCCACGCGGCCUGAAACGCGGGGAAGCGCAUGAGCGUCAGGUCUGACAUGCGCAGUGGCUUCCCCGACGCAGAACAGGUCACGGUGCGCGAGGGUGUUUCCGGCGUGGUAGGCUUGGUCUCGGCGUCAGCCACAGGGUCCGGCCCGCGCUUUGUCCUUGUCUUUGCGUGCGCUGGGCCCGUGUGGGGCAUCCCCUGGGCCAUUCCUGGGGCGGCCUCGGGCGUGAGGGGUUGUGGGUCCUGCUCCUAGGGGCCGCCUCUGUCUCCAGGGAGCGGGCACCUGGUUCUGCUCCCCGGCUGCCCAGUUCUUCAUGCUCCUCACGCCGGGCUCACCGCUGCUUCUCUAGGCCUUCAUCUGCCCAGCGAUCUCCUCCCUCUGGAGCGAAAUGUUCUCCAGGAUUGCCUGCCGCUCGUACAGGAGGUCGUCUGGGGUGACGACGGACCCAGGCAGGUCUGUGGCCUGGACGGCAUCCCGGCUCCGUGGGGCGGGCGUUCGGGUCCUGGAGCUUGAGGCCGGUGCCCGUCUUCUCACCACAGGUGUAGACGUCCACGCUGGAACGGUUCUUGAGGGCGUGUCAUCCUCUCAGACGGCGCCCUGUUCCUUCCUUGCUUCUUCAACUGCGCCGGUAUUUUGGUUCCUAAGACCGAGUUGUUACUCAGCACGUCCAUCAUAGUGUGUUGCUGGUUGUCAGUUGAGCAAGUGUACCCAAACUCAAGCAGACUAAAUGGAAAAUUGUUUCUGUGCUUUGUGUCUUCGUGGCCCCAGGUGGUUUGAUUUGCUUCUACAUGAGGUCUGAAUCUACAUCUGCCCAGAGGUAAUGAUUCCUCACUGUCUACAAGGUCAGUGGUGCCUCAGGAAAUCCCUCAAAUUAACCCAUAGAACUAUAGCACUGUUGACGCUGCUAACCAUGGGUACAGCUGUCAUUCAUGGUUAUCUGUAAGCAAUCCAUGAUGGUAAUAGCCAACAGUUAUUGAACAAUUACUGUGUACAGGAUUGUGUGCUGAGCAUCCCCAUGAAUUUUCAUGUAACUAUCCUAGUAAUCUGAGAGUUCAGGGGCUCUUAAUGUUCUCAUGUUAUUUUGAGUUAAUCAAUCCUAGUGUGUAAGCUACUGGGACAAGUUCAUAAAGCGAGAGGGAAUCAGACAAAACUCCAAAGUCUGAACUUUAAGUACAGUACCAUGCUGUUUCUCAAGUAGUAAAAUACCCUAAAAUUGAAAAAAGGUUGGGGUCAAUAGUGAGCUAUACUAACUUCCCUUUGGUAUACUUGGUAGGAAGACUUCCUUAAGAACACUUGUUCCAUAACUUUAUUGGGCACAUAUACUGUGCCUCAGGAAAAUAUUAUCAGAGUCAUAAGUUAUGAUACAGUUUUCCAGACCAGUUAGAAGAUGAUAUAUUAAAUAUAUUCAUAUAAGAGUUUGUGAAAUUAUUACAGACAGGGUAAAUAAGGAUGAAAGAGAAAAUUUUAAAACAUUGUCUAGAUGACCAUCUGGGACUGAAGGGCUAUCUCAGGGUUAAUCUGGAGUGAUUCCUUAUGUUCUUGUAAAGCAGCAUUUUAUAUGAAUUAUCAGAGGUUUUAAAAAAAGUUUUAUGAUCUCUGUAAUAAAAACAACAUUUCUAUUAUUUCUCCGUCAAAUUCAAAAAUAUCUCUUUAAUUUUCAUGAGACUUCAUGAAAUAAUUGAGAACCUGAAACAGUAAAAAGUAUUUCUUGACAAUUUGAGGUGAAAAUCUGGGGUCUUUUAAUCAGGACAGUGAGGCAUUGGGUCUUUCCCAGCACUCAACUGGAGGAAAAAAUCGCACAAAUGAAAUUUGUAAUGCUGUCAUUUCACCUGAGUCAGCAGUGCGUUUUCUUCUCUUUUCUG
rnacentral:lncRNA from 1 species